ACUCCAGGUCAUGAGACUGGAUGAAGUAAAUAGUGAUCAUCAAGGGUAGGUGAUCUAUAAAGACACUAUGAGUCAAAGAGGCUACUGUGAUCCAGGGAUAGCUGGAUUAUCAGAGGUCAUUAGACGCUAGUGAUCUGAAGACAGAGGACAUUGCUCCAGAAAACAGUGUCUGCAUGAAAAGAGGGGUGUCCUCACUUGCUGUGCCACAAGGUCAUGGAAGAUGAGAAGAAUAGGUCCAUUUGCAAAAAGCCUGAGGAGGUGACUGUGCACAUGUCCAGAAGAAGAGAAGUUCAUGUGGAGGAAAAUAGGCUGUGCAGGGCCCCUGCAGUUUAUGUGUCCAGAGAGGUAUGCUGCUGCUGCUGCUGCUAAAUCGCUUCAAUCGUGUCAGACUCUGUGUAACCCUAUAGACGGCAGCCCACCAGGCUCCCCUGUCCCUGAGAUUCUCCAGGCAAGAACACUGGAGUGGGUUGCCAUUUCCUUCUCCAAUGCAUGAAAGUGAAAAGUGAAAGUGAAGUCGCUCCGUCACGUCUGACUCUUCGAGACCCUCUGGACUGCAGCCUACCAGGCUCCUCCGUCAAUAGGAUUUUCCAGGCAAGAGUACAGGAGUGGGUUGCCAUUGCCUUCUCCGGAUUUCAGGUAUACCACAUGGUAAUUCCAUAUUUGUAUACAUUGCAAAAUGAUCACCACAAUAAGUCUACUUAUCACCCAUGACCUGUGGCCAAAAAAAUGUUUUUCUUGUG
ensembl:lncRNA